GACGAACGCUGGCGGCGUGCUUAACACAUGCAAGUCGAACGGAAAGGCCCUGCUUGCAGGGUACUCGAGUGGCGAACGGGUGAGUAACACGUGGGUGAUCUGCCCUGCACUUCGGGAUAAGCCUGGGAAACUGGGUCUAAUACCGGAUAGGAGCCAUUUUUAGUGUGAUGGUUGGAAAGUUUUUUCGGUGUAGGAUGAGCUCGCGGCCUAUCAGCUUGUUGGUGGGGUAAUGGCCUACCAAGGCGGCGACGGGUAGCCGGCCUGAGAGGGUGGACGGCCACAGUGGGACUGAGAUACGGCACAGACUCCUACGGGAGGCAGCAGUGGGGAAUAUUGCACAAUGGGCGCCAGCCUGAUGCAGCGACGCCGCGUGGGGGAUGACGGCCUUCGGGUUGGAAACUCCUUUCGCUAGGGACGAAGCUUUUUGUGACGGUACCUAGAGAAGAAGCACCGGCUAACUACGUG
rnacentral:rRNA from 1 species